GCGCUUUGGCAGCACAUGUACUAAAAUUGGAAUGAUACAGAGAAGGUUAGCAUGGCCCCUGCUCAAGAAUGACAGGCAAAUUCAUGAAGCGUUCCGUAUUUUU
ensembl:snRNA U6 U6 spliceosomal RNA